GAGAGAAAACACUUCUGCUGUGGUAGCUCUCUGUGAGUUGCUUUGGCAAGCUUAAUGUAUGAGAGAGGUGCAAAGACGUCCCUUCAAAAAUGCUUGUUUGGAGCAGACACAUUUCAGUACUAGGUGAAAUGGGAGCCUGCCCUGCUGGGUGUGACUGAGUACUUGAGAUGAAUGAUUUAAGGAGAGAUUUGUUUGGUUUCGCGAAUUCUGGAGCUUCAGCUCAUAAUCAGCUGGUCUCAUUGCGUUUGCACUUGUGGAGAGGCAUGAAGAGCAUGGGGGAUGUGGCUCAGGAAGCUGUUUGUCUCAGGGUUACCAAGGAAACACAGACAGAGAAGGGGCCAGGAACAAAUUUAGCCUUCUAAGGCCCAGUGACCUGUUUCCUUCAAGGAGGCUACCAGGCUCUCACAAUCUCCCAUUGUGCCUGAAGCUGUGACUUCAUCACCCUGAAUACCCACAGGCAUCAUCAGUAGAGACAGGAUCCUCCUUGUCAUCCCCAUAUUUAAAAUAUGUUCCUUCCAGAAGUCCAUUCAAACCCUGGGCCUGGGAUCUUCUUUGUGACAAGUAUCCUGGGUUUCAGCCUGGGACCUUGCUUCCUCUUUUGUCUCCUCCUCUUGCUGAUUCAUCAAUGCAGAAAGAAGCCAAAGUGUCAAGAGGACCACCAGGGAAAGGUGAAACUCCUGGAGGAGGGAAUGGAGGACUCCAGAAUUCAUAUUGCUGACUUCAGAGACUCUACGCUCUCGAUGGAUGAAUCGGUGUGCCUGUACUAAAACAAGCUACACGAUGGUCCAGGCUAGAGGUCCAGAGACGGCCACGGUGGCAUCCAGAUAAGGCCAUGGUGCACUGUGGCCCCUUUUUUACAUAAGUUCUCCAAUAAUAAACACUUUGGUCCUACUCAA